UACAGAGGGUGGGAGCGUUAAUCGGAAUUACUGGGCGUAAAGCGUGCGUAGACGGUAGCGUAAGUCAGAUGUGAAAGCCCCGGGCUCAACCUGGGAAUUGCAUUUGAGACUGCUCUGCUCGGGUGCGGAAGAGGGAAGCGGAAUUUCCGGUGUAGCGGUGAAAUGCGUAGAUAUCGGAAGGAACACCAGUGGCGAAAGCGGCUUCCUGGUCCGACACCGACGUUCAGGCACGAAAGCGUGGGGAGCAAACAGG
rnacentral:rRNA from 1 species